rnacentral:rRNA from 1 species
UGCCAGCAGCCGCGGUAAUACGAACCGUGCGAACGUUAUUCGGAAUCACUGGGCUUAAAGAGUGCGUAGGCGGCUUGGCAGGUGGGGUGUGAAAUCCCUCAGCUCAACUGAGGAACUGCGCUCCAAACCGCUAGGCUUGAGGAAGAUAGAGGUGAGCGGAACUUAUGGUGGAGCGGUGAAAUUCGUUGAUAUCAUCAGGAACACCGGUGGCGAAAGCGGCUCUCUGGGUCUCUUCUGACGCUGAGGCACGAAAUCUUGGGGAGCAAACAGGAUUAGAUA